UCUCAACAAAUAUGCCCGCCUUUUGUUGCUAGAGAAUUCAUAAUUUUUUUUGGUAAAAACCCUAAUCAAUCCUCUACUAUGUUGACAGCUUCAACCCCAAAUCAUAUCAUCUGUAACCCAUUACUCAAAUUUUAGAUUUUAUGAUUCCCAAAUCCUCGAAUGCCUCACCCAAUGCCACUUCAACCAAAGACGAGACAUGCUCGACGAAAUGUCCAAUAGAGACUCCAUUAUUAGGCCUUUGGAUGGACUUCAUUGCUUUCCAGUGUCUCAGAAAAUGGUCUCAUCCAUGAUUUGGAUUGUGGGUGGUCUUCGAUAUCAUGCCUAAGAGAUAUACUUUGAAUUAUAGCACCAUUUUGUCAGGUUAUGUGCAAUGGGAGAAAUGGAGUGAUCCUUGUGCAGAAUGUCUUGUGGACUUCAUGCUUUGUGGAUUAGUGAAUACAGGGAGGAUGGAUGGGGUGGGGGAAUGGUUCCCUGCGAUUCCAGAGAGUAAUGUUGUUUUUUGGAAUCCAAUGGUUGUUGGAUUGUUCAGUAAUGAGGAACUGAAGAAAGCUAUCGUUGCAGGGUAUGUAGAGCAUGCUGGAAUGGAGGAUAUCAGAGUGGUUACUUGUGUUGGGGUGCAACAAUGCAGCUCUUAAGCUAGAGUGUGGGUCACCCAAAUGAUAGUAUUCGAAUGCCAUAAGAGGCUUAGCCUUUGCUCACAGGAGACUGAUUGGUUUUUAUAUGAAAUGGUUAAAGCUCAAUCCAAUAAUUGAUGCCAGAGCCAGGGUCAUGGUUUUGAGCCACGGGAACAUCAUCUCAGGAGAGGGAUUGUUGGGGUGCAAGUAUGGGUCACCCAAAUGUUGUUGAUGAAAUGCAAUAAAAGGUUUAACCUACCUGACUGGACAUUGAUUGGUUUCAAGCCUGGGAUGGGUCAUACAAAUGAUAGUGGUCGAAUGUCGUAAAAGGCUUAGCCUACCCUCAUUGAACACCAAUUGGUUUUUGGAUGAGAUAGUCAAAGCCCAAUCCAAAAACUUAGAUCAGCAAAAUUGCAGGUUAUUGUAGGGCUGAACGAUAUGUGAGAAUAGUGUUGUUUGUUUUGUGGACUAUUGAAAGAGGAAAGCUGUUUCUUGGAUGACAAUUAUUGGUGGGUUUGCUUGAGCAACAAUGCACUUCUUGUUCUUGAUUGCUACCAAAAAAAAAGGAAAAUGUGCCUUUUGGUUGAAGAAAAAGUGAGACAUAGCAUGGAGAUGCAGUGCUCAGAAAUCAUUGAAUGGCUGCCUCACUCCUUGGCUUACUUUUUCAGGACUGUUCUAUUAUCUUUAGGACAUGCACAGAGAAUCAUACAUGAUUUUUGGAAAGAACACAGUAACUGCUACGAGGUUUGCUUGAGCAACAGUGGGCUUCUUGUUCUUGACUACUACUACAUAAAUUAAAAAAAUGUGCCUUUUGUUUGAAAGAAAAAGUGAAACAUAGAAUGGAGAUUCAGUGCUCAGAAAUUAUUGAAUGGCUGCCUCACUCCUUGGCUUACUUUUUCAGGACUGUUCUAUUUAUCUUUAGGACAUAACCAGAGGAUCAUACAUGAUUUUUGGAAACAACACAGUAAUUAUUACUAUGAAGUUUUCAGGGCCCCUAGAGUGUUUUUGUUGCACUAAACUGAUGAAAGAAGAUGGACAGACAGCUGCAAUAUUAACAUCUCAGAAUUAGAGCAAAUAUUAGUAGGAAGAAGCAUGAUAUUUUUGGUAUAUAUUAGACCCUAUGCCACAAGCAUUAGAAAUAUUGGCUGCCUCUCUUUAUUGCUCUUACAAAAUGCCCCGCUGAUCAAAAUAUCCUGAUGUGACCUAAGAUGAGUUCACAACAAUUAGACUAAUAUUGAUCAAUCUUUUGCUAACAUGUACUUGGGCUAUUAUGCAGGACCAAUCACAUGCUAAUUCUAUGGUUGAGAAAAGGCAUCAAGCCCUUGUACAAGUGAGCAGAGUAUGAGACUUUGAGAUUUUCCACAAUGAAGGAGAAUUCAGGCCUUAGCAGAUAACAGCAACACAGAGGUUAUUUCCAAAGAAUGGUACGAAUCAUUUUGACAAAUGUGGCAUAUACAACCAAGCCAAUUUUAAGCAACAGAGUCUCAACACCAGGAAACUGAGUUGCUUUAUGUAUCUGGUGGGGGUGGCUUCUACAAUCUAUCAAGUAUCAACUGGGUGCUGACUCAACAACUGUCCAUGAUGGUCCUUCUGCGGUAGCUAGUGGUAUUCUAGUUGCUUUGUUGUUCAUCGCAUCUCCAUGUAAGACACUCUCGUCCCUCCCGUUACUCAGAAUAUUUUGAAGAUAAUAAAAAACAAUUAUGAUUUGCAAAA